AAAAUCCGUCGACUUUGUAAAU
rnacentral:tRNA from 4 species